rnacentral:lncRNA from 1 species
GUUUAGGGUUUUAGGGUUUAGGGUUUAUGUUUAGGGUUUAGAGUUGAUGUUUUAGGGUUUAGAUUUGAAGGUUUAGGGUUUUAGGGUUUAGGGUUCGAAUUUCAGAAAAAUAUAUGGUUUAGGGUUUAGAGUUUAUGUUUAGGGUUUAGAGUUGAUGUUUUAGGGUUUAUAUUUGAAGGUUUAGAGUUUAGGGUUUAAAGUUGAUGUUUCGGAGUUUAGGGUUUAGAGUUGAUGUUUCAUGGUUUAGGGUUUAGAGUUGAUGAUUUAGGGUUUAAACUUGAUGUUUUAAGUUUAGAUUUAGGGUUUAGGGUUUACGUUUAGGGUUUAGAGUUGAUGUUUUAGGGUUUAGAUUUGAAGGUUUAGGGUUUAGGGUUGAUGCUUCGGAGUUUAGAGUUGAUGUGUCAUAGUUUAUGGUUUAGAGUUGAUGAUUUAGGGUUUAGAGUUGAUGUUUAAAUAACCCUAAACCCUAAAAUAUCAACUCUAAAUCCUAAACCCUAAACCUUCAACUCUAAACCCUAAAGCCUAAACCCUAAACCCUAAAACCCUAGAGUUGAUGUUUUAAGUUUAGAUUGGUUAACCAUAUGUUUUUUUGUCAAAGUUACCAAAAGGUUAUAAAUGUCUUUUACCCUUCGUUAAAGAUGAAGGUAAAAGUGUUUAGUGUAAACAUGUAAAAAAUGUACUUUGAAAAUGAUAUUUUUGGCAAUUUCAUUUUUCUUAAUUGGUCAUGUGAUGAAUUAAAUUAAUGGUUAUAUAUAUAUAGUUUUAGAUCCGAAAACCAAAAGACUUAAAUGCCAUUAAUAAAAUUUAUAAUACAUUUGUAAAAGUAAAUUUAAUUUAUGUAAGAUAGUGUUUUUCAUUAAGGGCCUAAAAUAAAAAUACUCAUGUUUUAAUAGUAACUAGUUAGUAAAUCGCCUUGUGCGCAUAAUGAAAUAGUUUAUUAGAUUAUUUAUUAUAUGUUAUACUAAUGGAUAUGUUGUAUACAUUUUUCUAUAGAUGGACACUCAUAUAUCCGUUCAGAUUGAUUUAAUCUACUCGGAUUUCAGAUUUUUAGAGUUCGAAUUAAAUCGUAUUCAGAUAUUAACAAAUUUUGGUUUGAAUUUGGUUCGAAUCAUUGCAGGUUCGUUCGGAUUCGAGUUCGGUUACUCAUUUCAAUUAUAUAUUUUUUUAACAAAAAUUUAAAUAUAUUUAAAUACUCAAAAUCCAAAAUAAAAUAAUAUAAAAGAUAAAAUUUGAAUAAUAUAAUACUAAAUAUUUGAAUUUAUAUAAAAACUAGUUCAAUUUAAAUAUUUGGAUGGAGAACAAAUAAGUAUUUUCAGUACUUUGAACAUUUUUCUGUUAUUUUAAGAUAUAUACUUGUGAAUAUGUUGAUAAUUUUUAGAUAUUUUCAUAUUUUUGAAUAUCUGAUAGAUAUAAGAUUUUAAAUAAUUAAUAUAUUUAAGUAAUCAGAUUCGAGUCUAGUUUUCUGGAUAUUUAAACUUUAAGAUUCAUCUGAUUACUUAAUCAGUUUUAGUUUAUGUUUUAAUAUUAUUUUCAAAUCUGAUUCGGUUCGGUUCUUUGUAUCCAAAUAUUUUACCCAGACUUAUUUUCUUCUACUAAUAUAAAGAAAAAUAAAAUAAAUGUGUAACAAAUAUUCUAGGCUUAUUUAACAUACAUACUUAUUGGAUCAUACUUUAAGAAUACCAAUAAAAAUCGUUGGGCGUCGUUUCAAUAUUGUUGGGCAUGAUGAAAAAUUGACAUAGUCAAUAACCAAUAAUGCGUAUUUUCUUAUAAAAAAUCUUGGUAAAUAUAAUAAAAACACAAUAUAAUCGAGUGAAAAGUGUUAAGAGUUGCGAGAAAAAUAAUGUGAUCUAUUCCCUCAUCACAUGAAUUCUGUUUUUCAAUCGAUUUCACGAAUUUUCAUUUCUUUUAAAGCUUUUAUGUUUAUGGUUUUUCUAGCAAUCUGAUUAUGUUUCUAAUUAUUGGUCUGAUAUAAAAACUCUGUAAAGAAAAAUAAUAUUUGGGUAAACUAAAGAUCCAACAUUGUGUAUGGUGUUUUUUUUAUCUCAGUUUCUUUAAUUCAUAAUCAUCCACAAUUAUUUAUUACAUUUGUGUAAAGAAGCCUCAAUCAUGGUUAAGUCCGGCAAGAUACGAAACUUUUAAUUUCUAAAAACAUUCUCAUUCCAGCAAUUUAGUUGAUGCGAAUCUUAAUGAUUUAAUAAAUUUUUUCUUUCAAAAAUGAUAUUGUACAGAGAUAUUUCAGUUCACUAAUACAAAAGUUAAAAAUGUAGGAACUAAAAAUAAAUUGAUUAAAAAAUAAGUGUGAACACAUUAAAUUGUCUGCUGUAGAAAUAAAAAAACUUAGUAUGUAAACGCGUUAAUUGUUAAAUAAUUGUGAGACCAACACGUCAGUAUAAUCCAAUUGAAAUCAAUAUGGAAGUGCCACGCAGCGAAUAUAGUGUGAACGCAUUAAUGACAACUGAUUCUCUUUUAAUACAUAGAAGAUGAUUAAUACAAAUAUCUACUAAGCUCAUUUUGAGUACACUUAAUCUUUAGUUGAUUAAUCAUCUAUUUUAAAUUAAUAACUUUGUAUAACAUAUUUUUGCUAAUUUAGAUAAUUAAAAAUAUUUUGAUUUGUGAUAAUUUGUAAUUUUUAAUGGUUUGGAUAUAAAUAAAUAAUUAAAUCUAAUCAGCUUUUAUAAAUACAUGGAUAUUAGUGGGAUAGCCAAUUCAAACUAAAACCAAAUCGACUGUUGUCCUAAAAUAUUCGAACGAAGCUUAAAGAAGAGAAAAGAAAACGAUUUUAUCAAAACCCGACGUAGAAGAGACGUAUCCCUAAUUAAUACUUUUCUUGGUUCGCGUUAGGUUUUUGGUUUUAAACGGUCACUCACCGUCUGGAAAAAUUUUGAAUCCAUUUCAUCGUCGUGUGUAGUCGAUGGAAGCUCUGUACGCCAAGCUCUACAACAAAUACACCACCCUCAAGGUUUAAUUUCUGAUCUAAUUUCUCGGAUUUCGAAUUUUACAAAAACUCUCAUUUCGAUCUCUUAUUUUUGCGCUUCCAGGAGAGGAAAUUUUCGGAAUUGGAUGAAGUUAAUAAGAAACAAGAAGAGAAGUUCCUUCGCUUUGUUGAUGGUACCACUCUGAGAAAGUCUCUUCCUUUAACAUCUUCAGUCUCUUCACUUGCUACUAGCUUCUCUCUCGUUAAGUUAGAAUUGCUAAUUAGUUAAAGACAGUAGAGCAUCAAUAAGCUGCCUUGUAAACAUUUGGGAUUAAUAUAACGAGUCUGUUAUUAGUAAACUCUCUUUUGGCCUUUUGCAGCGUCAGAGGCCCUGACGCAGCAUUUGAGAAGUGAAGACCAUAAUUCGAAGGAGAUCAUAAGGAGAAUGAGGGAUGAGAUAACUGAAAUCAGGUAUGUGCUACCCUGUGUUACUACUGUGAAAUGUGAAAACCAAUAUGGCUUUCUUUGGUCCACAGAUCCGCCAGGCACGAGGAGCGUCUGGAGUUUCAAAACCGUCUUGCUGAAGAAGAACGAAAGAGUAAGAUCUCGAGCCUUUCUUGUUUUCUGCAUCAUUUUACUAACUGAGCAUAACUUUUUUUUUUUUAUCUUACAGACAAGGCACUUUCGGAGCAAGUUGAGAAGCUUAAAGAGCUUAUCUCAGAGGGAGUUCCUCAAAGUGGAAGAAAACAAAAGACUCCCGAAUCUCCUCAAGUUACUACUAGAAGCAUGGGGAAACGUAGAAGGCUGACAGAGGAUGAUAUGGUAGAAACAGACAUGGUAUCUCCUCAUGUUAGCAUACCUCAUGAAUCAACUACGGUAUUAACAAAUAGCCUUGCAUAGCAUCUUCCUUAAGCUGAGUCAUCAACUUUUGCUCACUAAUUCUUGUUCUUGUUUCCAGGAAACUCUCUUGGUUUCUCAACCCCAAUGCCCUAAAACAGCCGACGUUGGAUCAAGUAGCUCUACUGGUUCUCCAUUCCAAGCUCUUAGCGAACAAUUGACAGGAAUGAAACUGUCAACUAACAAUGAAGGCGAACGAGUCUGCAUUAUAGCCUCGCAUCCAUCAAGCGGUAAUUCCUUUUGGCAUAUUAUUUAUGUCACUGUAUGCUUGCUUUCAAGUAAAAUGCAUACACUUUCCUGUCAUUUACUUCAGCUCUAAAAGAUGAACCAUCUCCCUGGCUUUUUGACCAUGACAGGUCUAUCAUUCAGCUUAACUUUGGUAGAUAACUCAACUGGUGAAGAAGCUGAGCUGCUCUACAAUGUUGUAUCGCUGGGGACAUUUGAAAGAGUUGUGCCCAACUGGAUGAGAGAUGUUAUAAAGUUUAACACAAGUAUGACUCCUCUCUUCUUCGAAAGAGUCUCUCGGGUCAUUAAGCCCCGGGAUUGAUCGGUAAUGUACAUCUGCCUCCCUUAAUUUCCGCCAUCAUCUUUGAUGGCGUCUUAGUUUGAUGGCUUCAUCAUCUUUGAUGGCUUCUUAGUUUGGGUCAAAACGUUAGGGAAGUUUUCAUGUAUCUAUAGAAAUGUUUGUAUCCCUGUUUAGCUUUUGACAUUGGUUAUGCAGACUUAUUGUGUCCUUUUCAAGAUGUUUAAUCGUCCUUUGCUCUCGGCACCUACUCUCUUGUAGUUCCUAUACUCUUUGAUCUAAUGUGAAUUUUGUGUGAUUCAACACUUUAAAAGCCAGUAUGCACAGAAAUAACGCCUUGAUAAUUUUUGGAAUUUUGGAUGUUAUUAUUUAAGAACCAGAAAGAUAAAUUGAAUGCAAAACAUAUAAAGACAUAAACCUUUCUUGUUCUAAUACCAUGUGUACGCAAAGGUCUCUAAAGAAAAGAUGAACAUAAGAUCUCAACGCAGAGGCUUCCUUGUUACUCUUAACCCAUCAUCAAGAACCUACGAACUAGGUACUAUCUGCAGGUCAUUUGAAGCCAAGGGGUUUUAUUGGUCGAGCUACAGGAGUGCAUUUAAGGGGAUGAGCCAUAGUCAGGUUCAGUUCUCCAGCAGCCUCUUCCAGUUUAACCUGGCCCCCUUUGAUUUUCCAGUCAAAGCAUUGGACCAUCAUCCCAACUGCAGUUCCUAUAAAGAUGUAUGCUAGAUUUGCUCCAGGACAGCCUCUCCUUCCGCCCCCGAAAGGAAUGUACUUGUGUGCUUGCUCUCUUCUCUCAUCCUCUUCCCCGGUUCCUAAAGAAGCUAGAAACCUCUCCGGGUUAAACUCAUCAGGAUCUUCCCAAGAACCAGGAUCCCUCAUCACAGCAUAAACAUUAACCAAAAGUGUAGUGUUCUCCGGUAUGUAGAAGCCUCUGAUUCUACACUGCUCUCUGGAGGUCCUUGCAAAGAGUGGAGCUGGUGGGUGCAGUCUAAGCACUUCUUUGACCACUGCUUGCAGAUAAGGAAGGCUUGGUAAAUCUGUUUCUUGAAUCAAACUUGUCUUCCCUACAACUGAUUCAAUUUCUUUUCUCAGUCUCUCAAGAAUGUUGGGGUUGUUCACCAGCUCAGCCAUUGCCCAUUGUGUAGUUUGCCCCAUACUAUCAGUCCCUGCAAUGAAAAGUUCCUGCACUUGUAAAAAAAAAAAAAAAGUAAAAAACUUCUUAGUCAAGAUAAUUACUUUGAAUAUUUCUUAAGGAGGGGAAGAAACACUUGCAAUGAAAAAAGUCUUAAUAUGGUUCCUAGUGAUCUUAUACUCUGCAUUUCCAUCUCGAAAAGCUUCCAACAAUACGUCCAUCAUGUCUGCAUCUUGAUGCUCGCUUGGCUUCUCUUCGUGUUCCUCAAGAAUUCUCUCUAGCAGCUCGUCGAAUCUGCGAGAAACACUCAGUAUAUCCUUUCUGAAGAGCGAGAUUCCAAACUUCUCGAGCGGCCUGCGUAGCAGGGUUGCCAAGGCAAGUUUCUUUAGCAAGGAAAACGACUCAAUGACCAAACCCCUGGCUCUCUCAGCCUCACCAUCGUCCUCCAAACAAUAUCUGCUUCCCAUGAGCAUCUUGAAAAUGAUCUUGUUACUGACCUUCAUUGCUUCCUUGCCAAUAUCAACCAUCUCCUUAUUAAUCGCCUUGCCAAGCAGGUUAGCGUAAAACCGCUCUAGCUCAUCGGCACGGAUGCAUCGUGACCGCUCGAGUGCCUGAGAUCCGAGCAGGUUUGUGACGAGGAGCUUCUUCAUAAACUUCAAGUAAUCUCCAUGGGGAGCCAUGAGGAAAGUGGAAGAUCCGAACAAGAGUGACUCAUCGAGCGGAGGGAGGCCACGGAACGAGACGUUCAGGUCGUGGGUCUUGAAGAUCUCGGAGGCUACUGAGGAUGAGGAGACGAGGACGAUGGGGACAUUGAAGAUGCGGAGGUAGAGGAGUGGUCCGUGCUUGGAGGAGAGUUUCUGGAAAGACUUGUGGAUAAGAAGGGAGAGUAUAAGGUGAAAAUGACCAAUGAGUGGGAGAGAGGGAGGGCUCGGAGGCAAAUCAAACCUCUGUGGUCUCCUGACGUAGAGAGAGUAACAGAGAAGUGACAAGAGGCAUAGGAGGACGAAAAUUAAGGAGUUCUGAAAGUCGACUUCCAUAGUUGUUGCUCAAAAAGCGAAGGAGAUGCCGUUAUAUUUUCCUUAUCAAAGAGAGUCUUGAAUAUAAUAUUGUACGGCCAUGCUUAAUACAUGUUAUUAUUAUUUUUGUUGGACGUGAAAUAAUGGAUAAACUCAUGUGUAUAUACAUUAAUUUUUUGUCAGAAGUUGGAACUUUUCCCCUUUGGAGUUAUAUAAUAAUUUGGUUUGUUUUUAUGUUGUUUAUUAUCUGCCAACAUAAUUGGAGCCUUGCAAGUUGUUUAUUAUAUUUUUUCCGUCACAUGCGUAUGGAGUGAGUCUUGUGGAUGCAAAACCGUAGGGUGUCUUGUACCUCAUCACAAAUUGUUACUAAACUGUUAUAGUAAUUUCCAAGCCUGAAGAAGCGUCUGGAUUUUUGGGAAUUCAAAAUACAGGCAAGAACAUGCAACCUAAAGCCUAAUUGAUCCCCAGAACCUUGAGAAUUUUCAAGACUGUUCUAGUAAUUUCCAAGCCUGGCGAAGCGUCUGGAUCUUUUGGAACUCGAGAUACUAGUAAGAACAGGCAAACCCGGUCUGAAAAUUAUAAGGCCUAAAACCUAAUUAUUUAUUUUAUUCCCAAAACCAUGAGAAUUUAUAUUAUCACGGGGAAGAAUUGAACAACGGAUCUUAUCUGCGUCUAGUAGCACCACCAAUAAAGCAAUUUAGAUCACCUCCAUCGGUAGGUUGAGGAGGAGGUUCUAAAGUAAUAAAGGCCAGAAAUUAAAUCAAAAAUGGUGUUUAUUAGGCAGAACCGAUCCUUAAUUAGGUAAGUUUAGGAUUGAUAAAAACCCCAGACGUGGCAGUAGGGAAUUGGUUGGUUCAUUUUAGACAAAAGGGAAAAAAAUUGAGCCUCUCUCUUUCUCUUGCUCGGUUCGUCUUUCUCCUCUUCGAUUUCAUCGACGCUCCGCGUUCGAUUCUGUCGAAAUCUCCAAAGCUUGAUGAUAUUCGAUCCAUUUUCUCGUCGUCGAUUCUGACUUUCUCAUGUUCAAUUUCGUCGGUAUCCCAUCGUCGGGUCUCUCUCGGCCUCGUCGAUUCUGUGAAAAUCUCCAACAGAGAAGACGUUUGAUUCGUUUCUUUCUUCGUUGAAGUUCUCCUCCAGAAUCGUCCAUGCAAUCCCCAUAAAGGUUCGGUUUCUUUUAUAUUUUUGUUCCCGUGAAUUGAAUUCCUUCGAUUAUUAUCCAAAAUUUUGUUUCGAUGAUGAGAUUUGACUCUGUAUAUCUCAGAUCGAUGGGGGCAGUCGUGGUUUGAAGUCGCGACGAACGGACUAUGGAGACGAUGAUGAACAGAGCUACAGAGGCAAGUCAUCAUCGUAGGUUUUCAGGUGGGAGAAGUAUCUUCCGACAACUGUGGUUUCGGUUUUGGUUGUCGAAUCCGAUGAUUAAACUUGCCAAAUCAUCACUGGCCAUCUGCAAAAGUGCACUUACAAAGGUCAUUGCUAUACUCUGUUUUAUUUUGUGAUGUUUUAAAGUAUCGUUUUGAGUCUUGAUUUUGAAGUUUGAGUAAACUCUGGUUUUGAUCCAAAACAGUUGAUUGAUUAAAUCUUCAUUGUCUUAAUGUGUUCCAAGUUUCGUGGCUUUGUCUUAAUUUUGAAGUAAAAAGUGUGUUGUGAUUAAACUAGAGUCUUGGGUUUUGAUUUGAAAAACAGUUGUAGCAGUUUCGGAUGGUUCAGCGGCGUGGGAGACAGUAAAGGAGAAGACACAUAACAUUGAAGAAGACAAAGGUCUUGCAGGGAGCAGCAAGAUACGGUUAAAACUCCAUCAAAGCGGAGCAAACACGUCAAACCAUCUCUCUUUAAAUUCAGAGGUUAGUAGACAAUCCAUUAAUGCUUGUUAGACAUUGUUUAGGAUUGAAUUAAAUGGACUUUAGGAUCAUGUACUUGGUUAUGUUAUAAUUAGGUAGAUUAAUCAUUGACUUUCUUGGUUGGUUUAGUUUUAGGUAGAUACAUUGAUGGCCAUUAACACGUAACACCUACUAAACUCUCAUUAGUUUGCUUUAAAAAGCGACCAACUCUCCCUUUCUCAUUUCAUAUCUCUUCUCUUUUGAUAUUUCCUUUCACAAAACAGAAGAAGCUCUCUUUCUCCUUUGUUAAUUCCUUCUCCUUCGUUAAUUCCUUCCUCAUUUCAUAUCUCUUCUCUUUUGAUAUGGAUCCAUUUAGUGAACUUUGUAGCUUUCAAACACUCUUAAACAGUCAACAACCAAACCCCUCCUUCUCUUUUGUUAGUCGUGAACCUAGUAUUGAAGUCUUUGCCUCUGAUGCGUCUGUCUUUGGUACUGGAUGGCCUGAUGGUGCAAACGAAGAGUGCCACAUCGUGUCUGACCGUAAAAAAAGGUGGAAAUGGUCACCAACUGAAGACAAGGUGCUCAUCAGUGCUUGGUUGAACACCUCCAAAGAUCCUGUCGUGGGAAAUGAGCAGAAAGCAAUUGCGUUUUGGAAACGAAUUGCUGCUUAUUUUGGUUCAAGUCCAUAGCUUGCUGGUUUGCAAAAGAGAGAGCCAUCUCACUGUAAACAAAGGUGGGGGAAGAUCAAUGAGGGCGUGUGCAAGUUUGUAGGCUGCAACGAAACAAAAAUCCAGUGGCCAGAGUGAGAAUGAUGUUUUAAAGAUGGCCCCUGAAAUAUUCUUCAAUGAUUACAAGAGCAAGUUCACACUUGAGCAUGCAUGGUUGGAGCUUAGGCAUGAUCAGAAAUGGUGUGGAGGUCUGCCGAGUAAAUAGAAUGUGAACUCUAAGAGAAGAAAGCUUGAUGACCAUUCAACACAGUCAUCAACGUCAGUGCCAUGUAGCCUUGGAGAAGAUGAAUCAAUGGCUCGGCCUAUUGGUGUCAAAGCUGCAAAAGGCAAAGGUAAACAGGCUGUGAGCAAGGCUAAGACUUCCAAAGCAGAAGGGAAGGCGUGUGUGGACUUUCAGAACCUGUGGGAGAUAAUGCAAAAGGACUAUGUAUUGAAAAAGAAGCUUAACAAGCACAAAUUGCUUGACAGCCUAAUUGCCAAGACAUAGCCAUUAACUGAACUAGAGAUUGCUUUGAAAAACAAGCUUAUUAAUGAUAUGUUGGCAAGUUAAUUUGAGUUUAUGGAUCUUAACCUUGUCUUAUUAUGUGUCUGAGUUUGAGUUAAUGCUUUUGUAUGAUAGGCAAGUUAGUUUGUUUCUCUGUAUUACGAGUUUGUAUGCAUUUGCUUUUGUUGUCUUCUUAUGUAUCUCGAGUCUGUAUAAUGACUUGUUUGAAUGUAUAAUAUUUCCACAGAUUGAUAAAUUAAUUCUUGCAAGGCUUUGCAGUCACAGAUAACUAUAUUAGCUGGUUACGUUUCUUACUCAAUGUUUGGUGUGUUUUGUUAACGUUUUAUGUUUGGCUAAUUGCAGCAGCACAGUAGAAGACAAGACUUUUUAAAACCGCGGAAUAAGCUUGAAUCUAGUUGACUCUGUGGAAACAGAGAUUGAGGUGAAGUGUUGGCCGAGUCUCUUAUGGCCAAUAUUUCCUAUCUUUAGUCUUCCUCUCUGUUCUCUAUGCAUUUUACUUGUUUCGUUGAUCAGACAAGCUCGGUUCGAACUAGUUUUGGCUUUGUAUUCUACGUAGUAACUGAUGGUUAGGAUUGUGAUCAUUCGGUUAGGAUUGUAAUUGAUGCAUAAGUUUGUAAUUGAAGCUUUUACGUGUGUAUAGUAACUGAUGCUUUUGCAGGACAAGAAGACAACUUGUGACAACAAUAAAGUCAGUAGCAUGUGACACAAACAAACACCAAAAGAAAAAGAAGAAGUCAGUAGCAUGUGACACAAACAAACACCAAAAGAAAAUAAAGCAGCCGUUGCAUGUGACGCCCAAGUGCCAUACGUUUCUUAUUUUUUCCUUUAAUAUGACUUGAUGUUAUCAAAAACAUAUUGUGCCUUCCAAGUGUAAUUGAUAGUCCGAGUGUAAAUCAUAUUGUCCUACUUUAUAAUGACUUGAUGUUACCAUUUCUCUCUUACCAUUUUCCAAUCAAAGAGUUGAGUUACUUUGUCUCUCUUACCAUUUCUCUCUUACCAUUUCUCUUCAAAAUGACUUCUUCUUCUUCUUCUCAUAAUCUUGAAGAUAUGAUGGAUGAAACAUUUGAUCAACUUUUCGAUCAACAAUUCGAACAACUUUAUGUUCAAGGUCAAGAAGCAUCAAGGUCAAAAAAAAGAGCCUACAUUGAAAGACAACGAGAACAAGGACACGAGCAGUUAUGGAACGGUUAGUUUAGUGAAGAUGCAACAUAUCCUUCUCACAUGUUUCGACGCCGUUUUAGAAUGAACAAGCUCUUGUUCAUGCGUAUUGUUGAUCGACUCUCCGCUGAAAUCCCAUACUUUCAACAAAGAAGAGAUGUUACGCGAAGGUUCAGUCACUUUCCAUUACAAAAGGCAACGGAAACAAUUCGUAAGAUGGCAUAUGGUUGCCCAGCUGAUGCGGUCGACGAAUACCUCCGACUUGGUGAGACCACCGCGCUUUUAUGCUUGGAACAUUUUGUUCAAGAAAUCAUAAAUUUAUUUGGAGAUGAGUAUCUAAGAAGACCCACGCCAGAAGAUCUUCAACGACUACUCGAUAUUGGAGAGAUACGCGGAUUUCUCGGGAUGAUAGGAAGCAUCGACUGUAUGCAUUGGGAGUGGAAGAAUUUUCCGACCGCAUGGAAAGGUCAAUAUACACCUGGAUCAGGCAAAGCCAACCAUUGUUUUAGAGGCUGUAGCUUCACAAGAUCUCUGGAUAUGGCAUGCGUUUUUCGGACCUCCAGGUACAUUAAACGAUAUCAAUGUUCUUGAUUGAUCACCGGUUUUUGAUGAUAUAUUACAAGGUCGAGCUCCAAAAGUUAAUUACAUUGUCAACGGACACGAGUACCAUUUGCCUUACUAUCUCACAUAUGGUAUUUAUCCAAAAUGGGCUAAUUUUGUCCAAUCUAUUCCACUCCCGCAAGGUCCGAAAGCAUCUUUAUUCGCUACACAUCAAGAAGCUGUACGUAAAGAUGUCGAGCGUGCUUUUGGGGUCUUGCAAGCUCGAUUUGCCAUAGUAAAAAAUCCAGCUCUUUUGUGGGAUAAAAUAAAAAUUGAAAAGAGAAUGAGAGCAUGUAUCAUUCUACAUAAUAUGAUCGUAGAAGACGAACGAGAUGGGUACACUCAGUUUGAUGUAUCAGUUUUCGCACAACCGGAAUCAAACCGAAGUUCACAAGUGGAUUUCACGUAUUCUACAGAUAUGCAUUCAAAUCUCGACAAUAUGAUGAGCAUUCAGAAUCGAGUUCGUGAUAAUACAAUAUAUCAAUAAUUGAAAGCUGAUUUGGUUGAACAUAUAUGGCAAAAUUUUGGAACAAAUCAAGAUUUCAACUAAUCGGCUUUUUCUCGUUUACGCUUUGUAUUUGUAUUUUUAAUAUGCUUUUAUGUCAUUUUUAUUAAGUGAUUUUAAUGUAUGCUUUUAUUUUAAAUCAUUCUACUUAAAAAAAAUUAUUUAAGAACCCCUUUGGAGGAGGAAAACAUAAUUUCCACAAACAAUGGUUCUUAACUACUCAAAUCACUUUAUUAACUAUUAAUUUACUUCUAAGAGCCCAUUAGAACUUCUUAACUACUCAAAUCACUUUAUUAACUAUUAAUUUACUCCUAAGAGCCCAUUAAAGGUUCUAAUGGAUGGACAUGCUCUCUGGUUAUCCUAAAGCCCUUUUAGAGUCUCUUAGUAUUUGUUUAAUAUUAUUAAGUAGUAAAUGUGAGGUUAAGAGACAUAAUCAAGAGACUCGAAAAUUUUGCGUCUCCGAUGCAAGUCUCUUAUUGAGGGGUUCUUAAAAAAAAAUUAUUUUUUUAAAGAUAAAAAGCAUUCCGACCACUACCACACAAGUUGAUCAAAUCCAUAAGAACAAAGUACAACACAUCCAGAGACAUCAAAAAGAGUAUAUUAUUUAAACCAUAACCACAACGUAACGAGUAUAUUAUUAAGCAUACAUGUGAACUAACAUUCAAAUGAGAAGUUUGGCGCUUUCCUAACUAAAGAACCUGUGGAAGUGAAACUAGGCCUUCAACUACAAUGUCAAAAAUGAUAUUCCAUGCUCCAUGUCACUACCAUAAACACAAGAACAACAUCAUCCACACACAAAAAGAAACCAGCUCCAAGAAGACAUGGAAGAAAAUAAUUAAAACUUACCUGCUGCUUUGUGGAGUGUAAGUGUGUCUUUGUCCCCUCUGUUGAGAAACCUCAAGACGCAUUGGACGACCGAGCAAAGGUCUACCGUGAAAUUCCAGUGCAUGGGUUAAAUCAGCAAUCAACCUAUCAGAUGAAUACAUGUAUAAAGCUUUCAAAACAAAAAAAAACUAACUAUUAGUAGUACUACAAGAUAAUACAAACGAUUCCUAACUCAGGCACAGUUUAAAACCCAGCAAAAAUCGUAUGUAUUCUCUUAUUAUAAUUAUGAGUACCUUCUGUGCUUCUCUGGGAGUUGCAAACUCAACCAUGCCAAAGCAAAGGAAUCUGCCAUCACCAUCAUUUGACAUACCAAAUCUGACGUCAACAACUUGGCCAGCUUCUUUGAAGAAUUCCUCACUGUAAUAUGUAUAACAAAGGAGGUUAUGAAACAAAAAAAAAAAACUUUAAAGAAUGAUUAAUAAAGAGAUUACAAUGUUACUACUAAGGAAGAACUCGUUUUGAGGUGGAAAAGACUAACCUUGAAGAACUAAUACCCAGCACCCGCACUCAAAACAAAGCUACUCAGUUCCAUUGGUAAUCUGUUCAAAAUCAAAUUCAAAAUCAUAAAAUUCACAGCUGACCGAAUACAAAUCAAGUCCAGAGUUCAUUGAUAACACCAUUACAUUGCCAAAACUCAAAAGCAAACAUCUACUGAUCUAAGCAAGGACUCAUCUACAACUACAACUACAAGUAUACAACAUCUAAGAGAAGAUAACCCAAAAGAUCAAGAGAUAACCUUUGAUUUCUUUUUCGUUUUCUGGGUCAAGAUGCUUGAAGAAGCCAAAUCCGACGUAGAGCAAGAACCCAUUUUGUCAAUCUACUAUCACGCUUCCAUUACAUCGCACCGGUCGUUAGAUUCUGAUUUGGCGAACAUUCUCUCAGUAAAGCUCAGCACUUCAACCUUACCAAGCAACACCAUUCUCGAGAUGUUCAUCAGCGUUUUAAAAGAAAGCCCAGAGAUGGUGGACUCGGUGAAGCGAGACCUAAUAGCAGCAAAGGAAAGACACCGAACAUUCUCGCUUGUCAAGCUCAUCGCAUCGCUCACAAGCUCUGGACUCAAGACAGAAAAAUCCUCGCUUUACUCAUCCAAAAUAGAGAAGCUUUCGCCGUCGACUUUCACCCUGGAGCCAAGAUCGGAAAAGGGAUUCUGUUUGACCACGCGAUGGGGGUGGUGAUCGGAGAGACGGCGGUGAUCGGACACAACGUCUCGAUUCUCCACGGCAUGACGCUCGGAGGAACAUGGAAUAUUACGAUCGAAGAGGGGGCUAAGAUUGGAUCGGGUUCGGUGGUGCUUAAGGAUGUGCCGCCGCGUACGUACAACGGCGGUUGGUAAUCCGGCGAGAUUGAUAGGUAUCGAUCAAUUCCCAGUCGAGAGAUGUGGAGAGAAGAAGGCCAAUUUUGAUCAAGAGACGUUUCUUAGAGCAUCUGCAAAGCAGGUGCGGAUUUAAGUGUAGGCCCCACAAAACAGUAUACGCCACGAUGCUUUCAACUCCAAAAUAAGCAGCGUUUUUUUCUGAUACUUGCACUGUUUGCAGGCCCCACUAACACGUGACGGUCCGCGAUUAGUUAACCUUUUUAAUUUUUUUUAAUUUUUUUCUCAGACAAAAAAAAUAAAAAAAUAAAAAAUAAAUAAAUAAGCACCUCACAUUAGGGGUUGUGCGUUAAUGGUGGUCUUAUUGUCCCUGGUUAAGAAACGUUUCUUAUUGUCCUGAUUAAGAAAAGUUUCUUCUAAUAAUAGCUAAUUUUGAUUUAUUUUUAAUCCUAAUUACACUAAAAACCCUAGCUAAGAAACUGCAAUAAUCAUGGUCUUAUUGUCCCUGGUUAAGACACGUUUCUUCUCAUAAUAUCUAAUUUUGAUUUAUUUUUAAUUCUAAUUACACUAAAAACCCUAGCUAAGAAACUGCCAUAAUCAGGUCUUAAUUAUUUCUACUUGGAAUUAACGUCUAAUAAUAGCAUAAUUUUUCGAAGUCUCAGGCCUAUAUGCAUUUAGGCCCAGUUCUGUGUCAUAUCUAAUGUUGUCAUAAAAAAUUUCCGUAUACUCAAAAUGAGUUUAUUUUACUCCAAUGAUUAUUUUCAUUUAUUCCCUCAAAAUAGAAUACUCCAAGUAUAUUCUAUUAUUAAUUAUCAAUUCUAAUAAUGCUAUGUAUUUUAGAAACUUACAAAUUUUACCCAACUAUAAUUUUUAUUUUAAAUAAAACUUUAUUUUAUACAUAAAUUUCUUUUCUAAAAUAAUAAACAAUGAUUUAUAUUUAAUUAUAAUUGUAUUAGUGAAAGUAUUAUUAAUUUCAAUUAAGUAUAAAACACAAAUAUUUAAUCUCUUUAGAUAUAAAAAAAACUAUAUAAAAAUUUAAGGAUCAAUUUGUUAAUACAAAGUUUAGUAGUAGAAAUGAGAUUGUGAAUAGUGUUUUCUUAAAUUUGAACGGAUACUAUUAUAACCUAAUUUUUCUUUCAAAAUGAUGUACUAUUUAGAAAAUGUUUUCUUUCAUUUUUUGAUGUUUUCACUCGAAAUGAUGCACCAUUGGAGACGGUAUUAGGAUUGUUGAAGCUUUAUGUAUGACAAACUAUGGUCUAUUGUGGUUUUGUUUGGUUUGUUUAUGUUAGGUUUAUAUUAAAAGUAAAGAUAUGUCCAAGGAAAAAAUAUAAUUAAAGAAACAUAAUGUAUAUGUUUGGUUUUUUUUUUACUAAAUUGUAAAUAUCAUUCCACAGAAAUGAAGGUUUGGUUAUAAUAUUAGUUGCACAAAGAUCUGCUUUAAUAGCCAAUCUGAUUUCUAAGGGCCGCAAUUUUUUUUUUAAAAGCCCCUAAAAAUCUAAUAAGUUAGCUCAAAACUUCCAAGAACAUGGACAGCUUGAAACUAACUAGAAUUCUAGGACUCCUAAAACCAAAGCACUUCUUGCAUAGCUGGACUGGCCUGCAGAUCAAGAGUAUAGACUGAAAGGAUGCUCCGUCGAACUCACCUAAGUGGCACCAACAGCUUCAAAGGCGGUGGCUCGCUUCCACCCCGGGACACCGAUGAAGGAGGUCAUCAACAGGACAAACCUCUAGCUAUCUCGACAAAGAGCAAGUUGUAGACCCGACUCCACACCGACGGUCAAGCGGAGGCGGUCUAUUCAGGCUCCAUCCGGCCACGCGACACAUAGGUACAACAAGGAUACUGGUGAUACAAAAAGCUAACUGUCAGAGCAAAGGUUUACAAGAAAUGAAGCACAAGGAGUAACAGACUCCUUGAAGCAGACGAUUCAACCGGUGAAAGAAAAUCUUCAUCUUUCUGCAGGUGACGCCGAGAAAAGGGUUGUCCUCAAAUCCCUCGUGAACAUCAUCGGAAGCAAGGAGAAAGAAAAUUGAGAACCAGGAAUCGCCAUGACUGUUGUCUCUUGAACUAAGGAAUAGAGGUUUUCAGUGGCUUACCUCAGAACCACCUAUUCACUUGAUCUGAGAGGAGAAGCUCUACGAAACCAUGGACAAGCAGCUAGCGGAAACCUACUGGAGUGAGACGCCAGGUGCAGGAACGGCGACGACAGCUACGCGUCUGGUGUUCCGGUCUCGGAUCUCAAAACUAACCCAGCUUCGAGCACAGUCGGCGACUAGCAGGAGACCCAAGGCCCGGUUCCGAUGGUGACCCAGCGCCUCGCUGGUGCUCCGGAGGUAACCAAAGAUGCCUUUGAAAACCUAUUAUUCGAUGGAGAAACGACCGGAUCCAUAGACUCACUGCACAAGGAGGAAAGAUGAGAGUGGUUCAGCAAAGGGUGAGGCGGAGAUGGUUCAACAAAGGGUAUAUGUUUUGGCCUUCUGUGAUGAUAGAUCAUCGAUCUCACAAAACAUGACAAUAUCAACCACGUUAAACUUGUUAAAAAACUUUACAACAAUCCACAACAUAAUACAUUUAGCAUUUUUUCUAGUUUGAUCAUUGGAGAGAGCAAAGUUAGCCGUUACGAUGAUUGAAUUGUCAAAAAUACAUUGUGUUUUGUUUUUAACUAAUGUAUGGAAUGGUUUGGCAUUGACAAAGAUAACAUUUAAAUCAUUAGAAAUAAUUAAUGUGGGUUAACAAAGAUUUUGUAUUAGUUUGAAAAGAUAUGUUGACUAUAAUUACGUAAAUAUGAUUUGGUUGGUUAUAUUUUUAUACUAGAUAUUUUCACCGCGUUACGCGCGGAUUUUGUCUUUUGAAUUUAUGUUUUAAGUAAAUUUUAUACAUUAUAGAAUAUUUGUUUUCGUAAACUUAUAGAAAUAUUUUUCUUAAGUAUGUGCGACGAAAAAGAGUUGAAAUAUUAUAAUAUGCAUUGUCUUCCAAGCAACUUUAAAUUUUAGAAAAUAGUAUUCUAAAAAUUGGAUCUAAACAAAACGAAUUUUCUAAAAUAACUUUCAAAAGAUCUAUUUAGGCAUUCAGAAAUAUAGUUUCUUAAAAAGUGCCAAACUACCGCAUACAGAUUAUAUGAAUAUUAAAAUAUGUUUAUUAACGUUGUUUUACCUGAUAUCCGAAAUAUACCCGGCUGACUUUUAAUUAUGUAUAGAUAAUUAACUAAAAAAACUGGUUGUUCUUAAGAAAUGUGCUUAUGGUUCAAUUUUUGGUACAUUGCUUGCUUAUUUGAUCUAAUAAAAAGGAUAAAAACCUACUUUAGAUAUAUAUAUAUGUAAAAAUUCUAUAAAUUAAUAAUAUUAGUAUUUUGGUAUUUUAUUAAUUUAUAUAGUUAUUAAUUUACAAAAAGUUUCUGUAUUAGAUUUUUGAGAAAUUACUUAAGAUAGAAUUUUUUAAGUUUUUGACACAAAAAUAGCUCUCAAUGAAGAAAAUGACCAAAAUAAGUUUUAUUAAAAGGUAAAAAUGUACCCUAGGGUUAACUAAUCUAGACUUAGGAUUUAGAAGUAAGGGGUGAAGUUUUGGGGAUAGAGUUUCAAAUUUUAAGAAAUAAAAAAUAAAUAUUAAAAUUUUCAAAAUAAAAAAUGGCUAUUUUUGUCUUUUUUCUUGAAGUCUAUUUUUGUGACAAAAACUUAAAAAGAGCUAUUUGAGAGAAUUUCCCUAGACUUUUCUAUUUAAGGAUAUAUUUUUUAUAAAAUAAAAAUAUUUUAUUUUAGUGUAUAUACACAUUAAUUAACUUUUUGAAAUUUGACACUCAUAUUAGUUUUAUUAUAUUAUUGGUGUAUAUAAAAUAUGUCUCAUAGAAUGCAGUUUUAGAUAUAAUUUUAUUAAACCUCGUAAUAUAUUAAGUGUUAAAAAAUAUAAAGAUAAUUCAAUUAUGAAUGUAAAACAAACAAUAUAAUGGUUGGUUUAUACUUAUAUAUAAAAUGUAUGUACAAAAGUUUCUUAUUUAUAGGGAAUUAUGAUAUUUUUUAUUAAUUCUGGUGGAAAACAAACCUAUGUACUUUUAAAUUCUUAAACAAUUGAAAGAGAAGAACAAUGGUUCUUUUCGGUAUGAUUUUCUUGAUGCUUUUCUUUUUAGUUGUAGGUGAAAUGUUUUGCUUCAGCUCUUGUAUGUAAGUUCACGAUUAUGUUUCUUUGUGUUGUCAAAGUAAAAUGUAAAAUUUGAUGAUGAAGCCAGAAACAGUUUCUCUGUAAAUUUGAAUCAGUUUAUUAUAAUGCAUUACUUUUAAAAAUAUGUGUUUAUUUUUCUUUAAUAUAUCUUAAGAUAAUGCUUGUGAUGUCACAACUUUAUUUUCCGAAUACAUAUUCUUUGGACUGCGAUAUUUAAUUGUCCCAUUGAGACUACUUAACCACUUGAUCUACAAUAUACUUUUAAAUAAAACGGGAUGGUGGUUUGAAAUAAUUUUCUGUUUUUAAUUGAGUAAUCAGAUUGCUUUGAUUUCAUAAGACAAUUACUACCUUCUCACAAUAAACACCACAGAGCCCCCAAACUACAAUGAAAGAAGACGUAAAACACUUUCAAAACUUUAAAUUUUCUAUCUUUAUAUAUAGAAGAUAUGUUAUAUCCCAAGAUUUGCACUCAGAUGCCUCGGGCUGGGAAAAUCAGAGAAGUGGUUGGGGUAAAAGAGUCUCAGUGAGGCAUUUCCGCACAUCUGGUCGUUUCUUUUGAGCUUUGAAAUUACUUAUGCGGUAAGAGAUAUGAUAACCUUUUUUUUUAUCAUUUGACAUACCAAAUCUGACGUCAACAACUUGGCCAGCUUCUUUGAAGAAUUCCUCACUGUAAUAUGUAUAACAAAGGAGGUUAUGAAACAAAAAAAAAAAACUUUAAAGAAUGAUUAAUAAAGAGAUUACAAUGUUACUACUAAGGAAGAACUCGUUUUGAGGUGGAAAAGACUAACCUUGAAGAACUAAUACCCAGCACCCGCACUCAAAACAAAGCUACUCAGUUCCAUUGGUAAUCUGUUCAAAAUCAAAUUCAAAAUCAUAAAAUUCACAGCUGACCGAAUACAAAUCAAGUCCAGAGUUCAUUGAUAACACCAUUACAUUGCCAAAACUCAAAAGCAAACAUCUACUGAUCUAAGCAAGGACUCAUCUACAACUACAACUACAAGUAUACAACAUCUAAGAGAAGAUAACCCAAAAGAUCAAGAGAUAACCUUUGAUUUCUUUUUCGUUUUCUGGGUCAAGAUGCUUGAAGAAGCCAAAUCCGACGUAGAGCAAGAACCCAUUUUGUCAAUCUACUAUCACGCUUCCAUUACAUCGCACCGGUCGUUAGAUUCUGAUUUGGCGAACAUUCUCUCAGUAAAGCUCAGCACUUCAACCUUACCAAGCAACACCAUUCUCGAGAUGUUCAUCAGCGUUUUAAAAGAAAGCCCAGAGAUGGUGGACUCGGUGAAGCGAGACCUAAUAGCAGCAAAGGAAAGACACCGAACAUUCUCGCUUGUCAAGCUCAUCGCAUCGCUCACAAGCUCUGGACUCAAGACAGAAAAAUCCUCGCUUUACUCAUCCAAAAUAGAGAAGCUUUCGCCGUCGACUUUCACCCUGGAGCCAAGAUCGGAAAAGGGAUUCUGUUUGACCACGCGAUGGGGGUGGUGAUCGGAGAGACGGCGGUGAUCGGACACAACGUCUCGAUUCUCCACGGCAUGACGCUCGGAGGAACAUGGAAUAUUACGAUCGAAGAGGGGGCUAAGAUUGGAUCGGGUUCGGUGGUGCUUAAGGAUGUGCCGCCGCGUACGUACAACGGCGGUUGGUAAUCCGGCGAGAUUGAUAGGUAUCGAUCAAUUCCCAGUCGAGAGAUGUGGAGAGAAGAAGGCCAAUUUUGAUCAAGAGACGUUUCUUAGAGCAUCUGCAAAGCAGGUGCGGAUUUAAGUGUAGGCCCCACAAAACAGUAUACGCCACGAUGCUUUCAACUCCAAAAUAAGCAGCGUUUUUUUCUGAUACUUGCACUGUUUGCAGGCCCCACUAACACGUGACGGUCCGCGAUUAGUUAACCUUUUUAAUUUUUUUUAAUUUUUUUCUCAGACAAAAAAAAUAAAAAAAUAAAAAAUAAAUAAAUAAGCACCUCACAUUAGGGGUUGUGCGUUAAUGGUGGUCUUAUUGUCCCUGGUUAAGAAACGUUUCUUAUUGUCCUGAUUAAGAAAAGUUUCUUCUAAUAAUAGCUAAUUUUGAUUUAUUUUUAAUCCUAAUUACACUAAAAACCCUAGCUAAGAAACUGCAAUAAUCAUGGUCUUAUUGUCCCUGGUUAAGACACGUUUCUUCUCAUAAUAUCUAAUUUUGAUUUAUUUUUAAUUCUAAUUACACUAAAAACCCUAGCUAAGAAACUGCCAUAAUCAGGUCUUAAUUAUUUCUACUUGGAAUUAACGUCUAAUAAUAGCAUAAUUUUUCGAAGUCUCAGGCCUAUAUGCAUUUAGGCCCAGUUCUGUGUCAUAUCUAAUGUUGUCAUAAAAAAUUUCCGUAUACUCAAAAUGAGUUUAUUUUACUCCAAUGAUUAUUUUCAUUUAUUCCCUCAAAAUAGAAUACUCCAAGUAUAUUCUAUUAUUAAUUAUCAAUUCUAAUAAUGCUAUGUAUUUUAGAAACUUACAAAUUUUACCCAACUAUAAUUUUUAUUUUAAAUAAAACUUUAUUUUAUACAUAAAUUUCUUUUCUAAAAUAAUAAACAAUGAUUUAUAUUUAAUUAUAAUUGUAUUAGUGAAAGUAUUAUUAAUUUCAAUUAAGUAUAAAACACAAAUAUUUAAUCUCUUUAGAUAUAAAAAAAACUAUAUAAAAAUUUAAGGAUCAAUUUGUUAAUACAAAGUUUAGUAGUAGAAAUGAGAUUGUGAAUAGUGUUUUCUUAAAUUUGAACGGAUACUAUUAUAACCUAAUUUUUCUUUCAAAAUGAUGUACUAUUUAGAAAAUGUUUUCUUUCAUUUUUUGAUGUUUUCACUCGAAAUGAUGCACCAUUGGAGACGGUAUUAGGAUUGUUGAAGCUUUAUGUAUGACAAACUAUGGUCUAUUGUGGUUUUGUUUGGUUUGUUUAUGUUAGGUUUAUAUUAAAAGUAAAGAUAUGUCCAAGGAAAAAAUAUAAUUAAAGAAACAUAAUGUAUAUGUUUGGUUUUUUUUUUACUAAAUUGUAAAUAUCAUUCCACAGAAAUGAAGGUUUGGUUAUAAUAUUAGUUGCACAAAGAUCUGCUUUAAUAGCCAAUCUGAUUUCUAAGGGCCGCAAUUUUUUUUUUAAAAGCCCCUAAAAAUCUAAUAAGUUAGCUCAAAACUUCCAAGAACAUGGACAGCUUGAAACUAACUAGAAUUCUAGGACUCCUAAAACCAAAGCACUUCUUGCAUAGCUGGACUGGCCUGCAGAUCAAGAGUAUAGACUGAAAGGAUGCUCCGUCGAACUCACCUAAGUGGCACCAACAGCUUCAAAGGCGGUGGCUCGCUUCCACCCCGGGACACCGAUGAAGGAGGUCAUCAACAGGACAAACCUCUAGCUAUCUCGACAAAGAGCAAGUUGUAGACCCGACUCCACACCGACGGUCAAGCGGAGGCGGUCUAUUCAGGCUCCAUCCGGCCACGCGACACAUAGGUACAACAAGGAUACUGGUGAUACAAAAAGCUAACUGUCAGAGCAAAGGUUUACAAGAAAUGAAGCACAAGGAGUAACAGACUCCUUGAAGCAGACGAUUCAACCGGUGAAAGAAAAUCUUCAUCUUUCUGCAGGUGACGCCGAGAAAAGGGUUGUCCUCAAAUCCCUCGUGAACAUCAUCGGAAGCAAGGAGAAAGAAAAUUGAGAACCAGGAAUCGCCAUGACUGUUGUCUCUUGAACUAAGGAAUAGAGGUUUUCAGUGGCUUACCUCAGAACCACCUAUUCACUUGAUCUGAGAGGAGAAGCUCUACGAAACCAUGGACAAGCAGCUAGCGGAAACCUACUGGAGUGAGACGCCAGGUGCAGGAACGGCGACGACAGCUACGCGUCUGGUGUUCCGGUCUCGGAUCUCAAAACUAACCCAGCUUCGAGCACAGUCGGCGACUAGCAGGAGACCCAAGGCCCGGUUCCGAUGGUGACCCAGCGCCUCGCUGGUGCUCCGGAGGUAACCAAAGAUGCCUUUGAAAACCUAUUAUUCGAUGGAGAAACGACCGGAUCCAUAGACUCACUGCACAAGGAGGAAAGAUGAGAGUGGUUCAGCAAAGGGUGAGGCGGAGAUGGUUCAACAAAGGGUAUAUGUUUUGGCCUUCUGUGAUGAUAGAUCAUCGAUCUCACAAAACAUGACAAUAUCAACCACGUUAAACUUGUUAAAAAACUUUACAACAAUCCACAACAUAAUACAUUUAGCAUUUUUUCUAGUUUGAUCAUUGGAGAGAGCAAAGUUAGCCGUUACGAUGAUUGAAUUGUCAAAAAUACAUUGUGUUUUGUUUUUAACUAAUGUAUGGAAUGGUUUGGCAUUGACAAAGAUAACAUUUAAAUCAUUAGAAAUAAUUAAUGUGGGUUAACAAAGAUUUUGUAUUAGUUUGAAAAGAUAUGUUGACUAUAAUUACGUAAAUAUGAUUUGGUUGGUUAUAUUUUUAUACUAGAUAUUUUCACCGCGUUACGCGCGGAUUUUGUCUUUUGAAUUUAUGUUUUAAGUAAAUUUUAUACAUUAUAGAAUAUUUGUUUUCGUAAACUUAUAGAAAUAUUUUUCUUAAGUAUGUGCGACGAAAAAGAGUUGAAAUAUUAUAAUAUGCAUUGUCUUCCAAGCAACUUUAAAUUUUAGAAAAUAGUAUUCUAAAAAUUGGAUCUAAACAAAACGAAUUUUCUAAAAUAACUUUCAAAAGAUCUAUUUAGGCAUUCAGAAAUAUAGUUUCUUAAAAAGUGCCAAACUACCGCAUACAGAUUAUAUGAAUAUUAAAAUAUGUUUAUUAACGUUGUUUUACCUGAUAUCCGAAAUAUACCCGGCUGACUUUUAAUUAUGUAUAGAUAAUUAACUAAAAAAACUGGUUGUUCUUAAGAAAUGUGCUUAUGGUUCAAUUUUUGGUACAUUGCUUGCUUAUUUGAUCUAAUAAAAAGGAUAAAAACCUACUUUAGAUAUAUAUAUAUGUAAAAAUUCUAUAAAUUAAUAAUAUUAGUAUUUUGGUAUUUUAUUAAUUUAUAUAGUUAUUAAUUUACAAAAAGUUUCUGUAUUAGAUUUUUGAGAAAUUACUUAAGAUAGAAUUUUUUAAGUUUUUGACACAAAAAUAGCUCUCAAUGAAGAAAAUGACCAAAAUAAGUUUUAUUAAAAGGUAAAAAUGUACCCUAGGGUUAACUAAUCUAGACUUAGGAUUUAGAAGUAAGGGGUGAAGUUUUGGGGAUAGAGUUUCAAAUUUUAAGAAAUAAAAAAUAAAUAUUAAAAUUUUCAAAAUAAAAAAUGGCUAUUUUUGUCUUUUUUCUUGAAGUCUAUUUUUGUGACAAAAACUUAAAAAGAGCUAUUUGAGAGAAUUUCCCUAGACUUUUCUAUUUAAGGAUAUAUUUUUUAUAAAAUAAAAAUAUUUUAUUUUAGUGUAUAUACACAUUAAUUAACUUUUUGAAAUUUGACACUCAUAUUAGUUUUAUUAUAUUAUUGGUGUAUAUAAAAUAUGUCUCAUAGAAUGCAGUUUUAGAUAUAAUUUUAUUAAAUCUCGUAAUAUAUUAAGUGUUAAAAAAUAUAAAGAUAAUUCAAUUAUGAAUGUAAAACAAACAAUAUAAUGGUUGGUUUAUACUUAUAUAUAAAAUGUAUGUACAAAAGUUUCUUAUUUAUAGGGAAUUAUGAUAUUUUUUAUUAAUUCUGGUGGAAAACAAACCUAUGUACUUUUAAAUUCUUAAACAAUUGAAAGAGAAGAACAAUGGUUCUUUUCGGUAUGAUUUUCUUGAUGCUUUUCUUUUUAGUUGUAGGUGAAAUGUUUUGCUUCAGCUCUUGUAUGUAAGUUCACGAUUAUGUUUCUUUGUGUUGUCAAAGUAAAAUGUAAAAUUUGAUGAUGAAGCCAGAAACAGUUUCUCUGUAAAUUUGAAUCAGUUUAUUAUAACUCCCACUUGAAGAUUGAUUUCAAUCUGUCUUCACACUUUGAUCGAUGUAGCAGGUCUUCUCAGCUUGUUACUCUGACAAGCCAACUGAGGUUACACACAACCUCAGCUUAUCAUACGGCACGACCUUCGUUAGCAUGUCUGUCGGAUUGAGCAAUAUGAAGUAGGACUCUUCAAGCGUCUUGAAGUAACAACAGUGGUCAGCUUCACACCUCAAGAAACCAACGCCUUUAAUAAAGUUGUCGAACCGUAUUUUGGUAUAUUGAUAUACUUUUAGUGAUGGGUUUGUUCUAGUUAUAAGAUUGGCAAUCACACGGUAACAACCAAUCCAUUUAUCUUAUUGCCAAUACUCUUGUUGAAAUCAAACGAACAUAUAUAUCACCUUUGCAAGACCAACAAACUGCCCACUUGCAUUCACCUGCAGAUAAAUUAAUCAACAGAAAAUUACCUGAUGCAAAUAUAUAAGAACAUUGCAUGAAGUCUCUUCAUACUGACCGAGAACAGAGAUACACAUGACAUUCUUGGGAAUUUUCUUGGUCUUCAUAGUAUGCAGCAUUCAACUUCUGGUUGCCAUACUUUAUCAUCUUCUGGAGAUCAUUCAUACUGGUCGUAUAACUUAAUCUCAAAGACUCUCGCUUUUGCGAGUGUCUCAGGGAAAUUAUCCAGGAGAUAUACCACUGUAAUGUAUGUUAGGAAAUACGCGGUCAAAUUUUGCGGAAAACCAGAAUUUAUGAGAGCGGGAAAACACACACAAAAUUGUUAACGGAGUUAGGCCAAUGUUGCCUACGUCUCCGGACCUGCUACAGAUCUUUUAUUAUCAACCCGAGAAAUUUUACAAACUCUCAACUCACACCCGAUCCCAAAUACACUCAAUAAAUUACACUUAAUAAUUUUUUAAAGAGAAAGAUUUUCUCACAAGAAAGAUAUUUUGUUUUUUUUUCUCUCUUGCACUCUCUCUCUUCGUCUCUUCUCUUGUUCUCUCUUACUUUGUUUUUCUUGUUUGGGAUGAAUUUCCCCUUCUCCUUCAUGCAUGUAUUUAUAGGAGGGGGAUUUGUGAGUUGGUGGUGAGUUGGUGUAACAACCAAACUUACCAACCAAAAACCAAAAAAACGUGUUCUUUUUUGAUCAACAAUCUCCCACUUGAAGAUUGAUUUCAAUCUGUCUUCACACUUUGAUCGAUGUAGCAGGUCUUCUCAGCUUGUUACUCUGACAAGCCAACUGAGGUUACACACAACCUCAGCUUAUCAUACGGCACGACCUUCGUUAGCAUGUCUGCCAGAUUCUUGCUUCUUGGGAUCUUCUCAAGCACCAACAUUUCAUCUUCCAACGAUGAUCUGAUGAAAUGAUAUCGACGAUGUAUGUGCUUCGUCCGAGCAUGGUAAACUGGAUUCUUUGCCAAGUCGAUGGCACUUUUACUGUCACAGUACAACACACCUUUCCCUUGGUCAUGGCCUAGCUCUUCUAGAAAAGACUGUAGCCAUAUCAUCUCUUUUGUUGCCUCCGUUACAGCAACAUACUCAGCUUCACAGCUUGAUAGAGAUACAAUUUUCUGCAACUUUGAAACCCAACAAAUUGCAGUACCGCCAAAGGUGUAGACAUACCCGGUUGUGCUCUUCGUGCUGUCAAUGUCACCUCCAUUGUCAGCAUCAACAUAUCCCUGCAAUCCCGUCUUAGACUUCGUGAAACAUAGCGAUAAACUUGGAUUUCCUUUUAGAUAUCUGAAAAUCCACUUAACGGCUUCCCAAUGUUCCUUCCCUGGAUUGCUCAUAAAUCUGCUAACGACUCCCACUGCAUGUGCAAUGUCUGGCCUUGUACAUAUCAUCGCGUACAUCAGGCUGCCUAUAGCAGAAGCAUAUGGAACCUUAUCCAUACAUGCCAUCUCGUCUUCCGUCUUUGGAGACUGCUCUCUGGAUAACCGAAAAUGACUUGCCAGGGGAGUACUGACUGGCUUCGCAUCAUCCAUGUUAAACCUCUUGAGGACUUUCUUCACAUACUCCUCUUGUGAUAGCUUAAGACCUUCCUUGCUCCUACUGAUUCUCAUCCCUAGAAUCUGUCUUGCUUCUCCAAGGUCUUUCAUCGCAAACUCUUCUGAGAGUUUCGUCUUCAAGCUAUUGAUCUCGUGCAAGUCUGCUCCUACUAUCAGCAUGUCAUCGACAUAUAGGAGCAAUAUCAAGUAGGACUCUUCAAGCGUCUUGAAGUAACAACUUUAUAGCGCUUACUUCCAUCAGGUUCUUCUUUUAUUCGGUAGACCCACUUGUUAUGCAAUGCCUUUUUCUCCUUAGGCAAAUCUGCUAACUCCCACGUGUGAUUGGAUAACAACGAGUCCAUCUCGUCGUUCAUUGCAAGCUCCCACUUGAUCGACUCAUCAACUUGCAUAGCUUCCUCAUAACAUUCAGGCUCGCCUCUGUCUGUGAGCAGAAUGUAGUUGAGCGAUGGAGAGAAUCUUACUGGCUUUCUGAUGAUUCUGCUUGACCGUCGUAACUCCGUGACUGGUGUAUAUGGGACCACUUCAGAAUCAUCACUUUCUUCAGCCUCACCACUCUCGUCUUGAGAGAUUUCUUCUUCUACUGUUGCGGUAUCCUGUGGCAACUCCGGUGUCAGGAUAUCAUCUAAGUCAACAGAUCCAGGCUCUUUCAUUUUCGAGCUAAGAGCCUUGUACAACGCUUCUUCGUUGAACACAACAUUUUUUCUGCGGAUGAUCUUCCGAUUUUCGUCAUCCCAAAACCGGUAACCAAACUCCAUGUCACCAUAACCGAUGAAGUAACACUUUUUAGACUUCGAGUCAAGUUUACUUCUUGCAGCAUCGUCAAUGUGAACAUAAGCUAAGCAACCAAACACCUUUAGAUAAGAAAGGUUUACUUUCUUUCCGCUCCAAACUUCUUCAGGGAUCUUAAAUCCCAAUGGUACAGACGGUCCUCUGUUUAUUAAGAAGGCUGCGGUAUUGAUUGCAUCUGCCCAAAACGUCUUUGGUAAUCCACAGUGCAAUCUCAUGCUCCUUGCACGCUCAUUCAAGGUUCGGUUCAUCCUUUCCGCUAUUCCAUUCUGUUGAAGCGUUCCAGGAAUAGUCUUCUCCAUCUUGAUCCCAUUAUCAGCGCAAUAUCUCUUGAACUCGCCGCUGAUGUACUCACCACCAUUAUCAGACCUUAGACACUUCAACUUGAGAUUCGUCUCAACCUCAACCAUGGUUUUCCAUCUCUUGAAAACCGAGAACACUUCAUAUUUGUUCUUCAUGAAGUAGACCCACACCUUUCUUGUGGAGUCAUCAAUAAAGGUCACAUAGUAGUACGAACCUCCCAGCGAUGCAACAGGAGCGGGUCCCCACACGUCAGUGUGCACCAGCUCUAACUUCUCAGAUUUUGGCUCUCUUCCUCCUUUAGAGAAACUAACUCGUUUCUGUUUCCCAAGGAUGCAACUUUCACACAUCUGAUGAUCCACCGUCUUCAGAUCCGGAAGAGCACCAUUUUCCACCAUGAGUUUCAUCCCUUUCUCACUCAUGUGCCCCAACCUACAAUGCCACAACUUGGUAUGUUUGGCAUUCUCGACAACAGCAACAGUGUCUUGAUAACUCGUCGUCAUAUAAAGAGUGCCUCUUUUAUGACCUCUAGCCACCACCAUGGAACCUUUCUUGACUCUCCAGGCUCCACCACCAAAAUUAACAUCGUGCCCCGUAUCAUCAAGUUGACCUACUGAGAUCAGAUUUCGCAUCAACUUUGGCACAUGUCUGACCUUGGUAAUCUUCCACACACGUCCGUCUGACAUUUUCAGGUUGAUAUCUCCAAUACCAACUAUGUCCAAAGGUAAUCCAUCAGCAAGAUAUACCUUUCCGUAAUUUCCCGCAACAUAAUUUUCCAUGAUGUUAUGGUGCGGUGUGGUGUGGAACGACGCUCCUGAGUCAAGCACCCAUGAAUCAACUGGGCUAUCGACAUAGGAGAUUGACGCUUUGAUGGUAUUUACAGUUGCAUCACGAGCUUCAAUUUUCCUCGGGGAAUCAACAGACACUACCAAUGCAUCAUCGAUUUCACGUGUCACUGCAUUGGCUCCGCCUCUAGUGUUGUCUUCCUUCUUCGGUGGUGCUCGGCAAUUCUUCUUGAUGUGACCUGUCUUUCCACAAUUCCAGCACUCUGCAGGCUGUCUGAAUUUGGACUGACCCCGUCCAUUCCUUGACUUCGAUCUGCCAUUACUCCGGUUAUUUCUAUCUGGGUUUCUCCCUCUGUUUUCCACGUUGAAAGCAGAGCUCGUUGAUGCCUCCCCAGAGUCUAUCCUUCGAACUUCCUCAGCAAGGAUACGAUCUCUAACAUCAUUGAAUUUGAGCUUUUGAGUACCCACAGAAUUACUAACCGCUGCCCUCAUUGGCUCCCAACUAUUUGGCAGAGAUGCCAACAAAAUCAGUGCUCGCACUUCAUCAUCAAACUCGAUUUCAACCGAUGACAGUUGGUUGACAAUCGUGUUGAACUCGUUCACAUGUGCGGCAACCAGGCCACCUUCUUCCAUCUUCAAAUGAAAGAGUUUCUUCAUGAGAAACACCUUAUUGUUUGCCGAAGGUUUCUCAUACAUAUCAGAGAGAACUUUCAUGAGCCCUUCUGUGGUCUUCUCCUUCGCAACGUUGUGAGCAACGUUUUUCGACAGUGUUAACCUUAUAACACCCAGAACUUGUCUGUCAAGGAGCUCCCACUCAUCCUGAUCCAUCUUCUCAGGCUUCUUGCUCAGCGGUUGAUGAAGCUUCUUUCCGUACAGAUAAUCUUCAAUUUGCAUUCUCCAAAAUGCAUAAUCUGUACCGUCAAAUUUCCCGAUACUGUGCGCCGAACCGUCUUCGCCUCCCAUCGUUUCUGGAACCACCGUGUAUUAGAACACCUUCGUCGACAAACCGAUGUUACCGACAAAAUUCACUAUUCACGAAGUACUGUUCACGUGAAUAGUAACCCCGCAAAAAAUUUGACUGAUCACCGUAACUCAGGCUCUGAUACCAGUUGUUAGGAAAUACGCGGUCAAAUUUUGCGGAAAGCCAGAAUUUAUGGGAGCGGGAAAGAAGCACACACACCAAAUUGUUAACGGAGUUCGGCCAAUGAUGCCUACGUCUCCGGACCUGCUACAGAUCUUUUAUUAUCAACCAGGGAAAUUUUACAAGCUCACAACUCACACCCCGAUCCCAAAUACACUGUAUUUUCGCCGCAUCGAUCAUAGUUAACAGUUUUCUUUUAUAAUCUUUGGCGGUCUCACGUUAUAAAUCAGAAGGUUGAUCAAGCUGCACACUAUUCCUUAGACCAUUUAAAAGCAGAAAGCUAGUCCCCUGAAAGAUGUACAAUAUGGAUCACUGAAAAACUUAUAAACCCUCACCGAAAAUCUAUUAUAUCCUCUAAACUAACAAAAAAACUCAGCUCAUCAAAACUAACCUUCUGAAACAUUUUUCCUCAAGUCAUCAUGAGUACCGUGAAAGAAAUGGUUGUAAUAAUCUGUAGUAGUUCUUUACUUCCCAAAUGUUGCAAUGAAUCUACAAAUCUGAUCGAAACCCAUUGUGAGGACGUCAGGACAGAUUUUUUACAUGUAGAAUUUACUACCUUCUCACAAUAAACACCACAGAGCCCCCAAACUACAAUGAAGACGUAAAACACUUUCAAAACUUUAAUUUUUCUAUCUUUAUAUAUAGAAGAUAUGUUAUAUCCCAAGAUUUGCACUCAGAUGCCUCGGGCUUGGGAAAAUCACAGAAAUGGUUGGGGGUAAAAGAGUCUCAGUGAGGCAUUUCCGUACUGGUUUUGUCGACCAUUCGUAUAUUGUAUUGUUCGUAGACUCUUCUUCUGUUAUCUGACCACCACUAUUACGUUUGUUUCUCACUGUUCGGCUGUCAUAAAAUAGAACAGUCAGCAAAACUACAGCUGAUGUUUUUCUAGGGGAAAUAUAAUAUGGUUGUACCUGAAACAGACACGUUUGAGGUCGGUAACACCACUGGCUAAGGCUGUAAGAAUGAUGUAGACGUCAGGCGCAUCUUUCUCAACCCAUUCAUUCUUGUUAUGUGCUUCAGUCGAUGCUUCUCCAUUUCCAAGUACAUGUGUAAUGGUCCAAUUAGAAAACAUUGUGGUAUUUACACCAUUUUGCUCGCGUUCCCAUUUGGUUGGUUUAAGAUAUUAUAAGGGUCAACGCGGCCUGGACUGGAACCAAAUGAAUCAAGGGACCGAGGAGACUUCACAGUUCGAGCUGAUCGAACAGGUAAUAUUUCAGCCAUGUAUUUCACCUGCAUAAUUUCAGUGAUGCUGAUAACGGAGUCAUAAGAAAUCACUCGUACUCGCAAACAGCAUAUUACUAAUUUUGAGCUUUGAAAUUUCUUAUGCGAUAAGAGAUAUGAUAACCUUUUUUUUGUUGCCGCACAUCUGUUCGUUUCUUCGCUAGAGAUUGUAAACGCCUCUUUGAGCUGCUUGGCUGUUUUUCCAGCUCAGCUUCUUGGAACUGGGUCUUUCUUGUAAGACUGGUAAGAAAAAGCCAGCACCUGCAAUAAGAUUUUAGUGAAAUACAUUAUCAAGCUUAUUCCUCUGCAUGAUCUCUGUAGUGGAUGAUUUUUUUUAGGAUGGGAUUCCAAAACAGACAGAAUCAGAAACCUUUGCUCUGUUGUUCAAGUUGAUCAAAGCAGAGACUGAUCUUAACAGCGAUUAAUAUAAGCUGGCUGGUCCAUUCUUCUCAUGGCUUCAAAGUAAUAACCAUCCACACAAAGUAUGUUUUUGUACUCAUCGUCCCCUAAAUUCACCUUCCCAUGGUUUACAUACAACUGCAUCAUCACUAUCAUAAUUAAUGAAAACCAUAUCGUGUUAAAAGCUAGUAAUGAAAAAAAAAAACGUUAUAUGAUUCUUUACCGUGUUUAGAAGUCAUUCUUUUCCAAUAACAUGUGUUCUUUUCCGUUCAUUAUCAAGAACUGCUACCAUUUUGGGAUAUCUCCAAGGUAAGUCCGGUCCAUCUGAAAUAAAAAUAACAUUCUGAUAUGCGUUAACCAACGAUACUUGUUUGUCACUAUCAAUGAUUACAUCCUUACCUCAGAUUUAAAGGUUAUUGAUGUCGCCUUUAUCUGUUAAAAGCUCCUUUUUGCUGAGGUUCUCCAAGUGCUCAAAUGUUUCUAACCCUUCAAUCGUUGAAUGAUUCAUCAAACACAGAAUAUUUUGCUGAUGAUAUAUAUUUUAUAAAGAGUACAAAUUACCUUAUAUCUGAGACAGCGAGGUAAGUAUGAUAUGCAAAUAAGAAUCUGAAGGGUUUGCCAUUGAUGUUUCUAAAGAAAUCAAUGUUGAGUGGCCAUCUAUAGCAAGUGAAACCCAGAACUCAAAAAAGAAACACACACAUAAAAUUCAGAAUCUAUAAAGAUAAAGAACAUAAAAGGAUGAUGAUGGUUUUGCUUUUACCUGUCAAACCAUUGCUUUAAGUCCUCUUCUGAUGGUUUGAGAUGAAGAUCAACUAAUGAUGAUUUUAUGAACUCGUGGAGGUAGAUUGUCAUCGAUUACCCAGAUUUUUUCCCUUGCAAACCCAUGUUGAUCCAGUGAUCCACAAUCUACAAAAAAGACAUACACACAAACAACUCAAUUAUAAUGUUCAUGCGAAAAGAUACAAUAUGAGAGAACUUACUUAAAAUUACAUGAGGAUAACAAAUCUGAAUCCCUCCACGCAUUGAUUUUGGGGUUUGAAACCAAUAAGAUCAUAAUCCAGAUAUCUAAUAGCGAGAGAAAGUGAGAAUCUAAUUUGGUCAUCGUUCAAUCUUAUAUAUAAAUCAAUCAUUAAUAAAUCGGAAAAGCUAAAAGUGUCAUAACGCUUGGUAAAUUAACUAAUGGAAGUAAAUGUGGGAGAAACAGCUACGGAGGAUUUACAUGGAAGAAGUUGAGAAGAUGAAUAUUAAAGGGAAAAAUUGAUUUGAGGAAGAAAACGAAAAGAGAGAUCGUUAAAUAAAAAAGGAUUUUUUUGUUAUUCAUGAUGUUAUUCAUGAUGACAUGGCAAUUUGAUAGGUUGUGAAUUUUUUUGCUGACGUGGAUAGGCCGAGAGCUCUGGUUAAAAAACUUUUAGUAUUGUAAGAUGAGAAAAUAUAGUGUAUUUAACUGACAUUGUAUUAUUAGACUAAUUUAUUGUAAGACUAAAAACUAAUAAAUAGUAAUGUAUAGGUCUAACUACUUUUACAUUAAAUUUUUAGAAUGAUUUAUUUGUAAUAGUAUAGACAUAUCUAAAAGAAAAAAAAAAUAUCAUAAAAGAAAUAUAACAUAUAUGGUUUGGCCUUUUCUGGUGAAAAUGCUCUAUGCUGGAUCUUCGAUUUUUCAAAACAAUUGAUUCAAACUUGUUAUUAAUAUAUAAAAAAUAACUUAGCAACAAUCCAUAUAAUACAUUACAACUUUUUUUCAAAGUAAGUAGUUAUUACGUGUAAGUGGGUGAAUUUCAUUUCAAAUGCAAGAAGAGCGCUCUCUCUAACACUCUAGGAAAAAUAUUAUUUUUAUUGACGUUGUUUAUUUGCACACUUUUUAUAAUUAAAAAUUACUUUUAAUUUAAAAUCCGUUUAUAUUUUCUACUUUUUAAUACGCCUUUAACUAAAACUGAUAAUAGUUUGAGUUCAUAUGUUAAUAUUUAUAUGAGUUUCUUAAGUCAUGAUUUUAUUAUUUUUCAGUGUUUUUUUGUUUGUUUUGCUUUUGGUUUACUUUAUUUUUGCUUAACAAUGACAAAUAUUUUUAUAAGUUUAAUUAGUUAAUUCAACUUUGACAUGAUAACUAAAGGGCGCCAUUUGGUUCUUACUGAUCUUGUACUCAUCACUUUUGCUUCCAUAAACUGCCAAUAACACAUCCAUCACAUAUGUAAGGUACAAAAAAAAAUUGAGUAACACGAGUGAAUUUAAGAAGAUGAGUCAUGCUUAGCUUAUAAAAUCUUAUUUUCAAACUAAGGAUGCCUCCUUCUAGGUGCUCAUCCAUGUCGACGCCUCCUUCAUUGUUCCAAUCAAAUAUAUGCACCAUAACAGCUACUGCAGUUGCCACUAUAACGGUACCGAGAGCUGGGCCCACACGUCUGCCACUUCCGAAAAAAAGACAUUUAUUUACUUUAUCUGGUUCUGGAGAAACCAAAAACCUCUCCGGCGCAAACAUGAAUUGUUCUUCCCACACAGUUGGAUCCCUCAUUAUCUGAUACACAUUCACGAUCAUUGGUGUGUUCUCCGGUAUAAGGAAACCUCCGAUCUCACACUGAUGUUGAACCUCUCUUGGUAAGAGAGGUCCAAGCGGAUGCAGUCAGAGCGUUUCUUUGAUUACCGCGUUGAGGAAGACAGUGCCACAGUUUCCUUUUAGGAACGUAGUCACAUGUGUAAAUUCGCCUACAUACAUCUUUUUGGGUAAGUUAGUGGUUGGUUUCUCUAAUUAAUUUGACCCAAUAAAAAUAGUUGGUUAAUCUACUUUUUUUUACUAAAAUCUAUAGUUAUGAAGAUUUUUUUAAGUGGGGGGAUGCAAAUUUUUACACACCAAUGAAUGAAUUCUACCGGACUGAAUGUUUUGGUAUGUUAUUAUCUAUUCUCGAUUGAACCAAAAUCGGUUUAUAUAUCAGUUUAUUUGGCUAUUGGGUGAAAACCUAAAAUUUUGUUGAGUAAAAUUUGGUCAAUUUGGUCUACUGCGGUUUAUGUCAGUUAAUUUGGUUAUUACGUAUUGAACCGAUCGAUUCCUGCUAGCUCAACUGAACUGUAACCUAAUUGAAAGAACAUUAUGCAAAUUCACCCAUUUUUAUUAUAUACUAGAGGCAUGUACGCGCUUCGGGUGGGAUAUUAUUUAUUAUUGUUAAGUAUGAUUUUUUGGAUAAUGUAAUUAUGUGGUCGUUUUUAUUUCUUAAAAGCAUUAUUUGGUAUUUUUAUUGUGUUACGUAGUAGUAGAUGAUAAAUUAAUAUAUUUUGUGUUUGUUUUUCAAUAAUGUGUUGUUGUGUGUAUAGUACUACUUGUUAGUGGUAAAGUGAGUCUUUGAUGUAAAACAUAUUGAAUUUCAGUUACUUUGCAUUUAUCUAUUUGUUGAUUCUAAGAUUAAUGGUUUUAACGUCAAAAUUAUAUUCUAUGUUUUCAAAAUUUUAAACAUUAUUCUUUUAAGAUGUUUUUGUUCUCUUCUCAUAUUUUGACCUUGAGCUUGUCACCACCAUAUAUGUAUUUUGUUUACCUUUUCAGUGUGUGGUGCUUCUCACCAUCACCGGAAAAGACUCACCUAUGUGCUCUUGUUCUUCCUCGCAUUCUUUUCUUGUGAGAUUAGUUGGUAUUUGUUGUAGAUCGGGUUUAUGAGUUUCCAAUUGUGCGGUUGUUUCUCAAGGUGUUGUAGGUUGUUCCGGUCAAUUUGGCUCCUCCUCUUUUUCCUUAGUUUUUUGUUGAUGUCAGGGACUGCAUCUUUUUGGGUAGGGCCAAUGUUUAGUUGUCUUUGAUGUUAUUUUCCUCGUCGUUGGCUUGCCGCCAAUAGUCCAUGCUCGUCUUGGCUUUCAAGAUCUGUUUUUUUUUUUGUUAUCUGAUUUCUAUGCUCUCUUUCAUAACUCGAGGACGGCUCCACGGUUCGAUGUUCGCAUCACUGGUGGUGGCUCUUUCUUUCUCCAUGUUUUCCAGUCUAGGUUUGAAUAGUGUUUUUCUCCGUGUAUAUUUUGUGGGUUUGGAAAGUUAUUUUUGGUCUCAAGCUUGGAUUCUGGUUUUUCGGUGGAUGGCUUUUAUUCUUUCUCCUUCAGGUUGUUUAUCUUCUUCCUCUGCUUUUCUUAGUAUAGCUGUGUAAAUUAGUUUCUAAGAGCUUUGGUACUUUUUAUCAAAGUUUUGGGGUUAUUACUUAUUAAUAAUGACUAAAAGAUAAAAGUCACCUGAAACUAAUCAUUCAUAUAAUAUAGAGAAAAUGACUAGGAAGGCAUUAAAAAAGUUUUUGUCACAAAUAUAACCUCUAAGAAUAAAAAUGACCAAAAUAACACUUAAUGUUUUAUCAAAAGAGAUAAAUAUACACUUAUACCCCAAUGGUAAAUUAAUUUAGACAUUAGGGUUUAAAGUUAAGGGGUGGGAUUUAGAAUUUAGGAUUUAGGAUUUAGGGUUUAGGGUUUAAGGGUUUAGGGUUUAGGGUUUAGGGUUUAGAGUUUAAGGGUUUAGGAUUUAGAGUUUAGGGGUGGGGUUUAGGGUUUAGGGUUUAGAGUUAAGGGGUGGAGUUUAGGAUUUAGGGUUUAGGGUUUAGGAUUUAGGGUUUAGGGUUUAGGGGUUUAGAGUUAAGGGGUGGGGUUUAGGAUUUAGGGUUUAGGGUUUAGGAUUUAGAGUUUAGGGUUUAGGGUUUAGGGUUUACGGUUUAGGAUUUACGGUUUAGAGUUUAGGGGUGGGGUUUAAGGUUUAGAGUUAAGGGGUGGGGUUUAGGAUUUAGAAUUUAGGGUUUAGGGUUUUGGGUUUAGGGUUUAGCGUUUAGGGUUUAGAGUCGGGGAGUGGGGUUUUGGGAUAAGAUUUCAAAUUUUGAAAACAAAAAAAAAAUUAAAAUUUUCAAAAGAUUAAAUGCUAUUUUGGUCAUUUUAGUUUUUGAAUGCUAUUUUUGUGACAUAAACUUAGAAAAGUGAUAUUUUGGAGAUUUACCCUAGGGCAAAUCUCCAAAAUAGCACAUUUCUAAGUUUAUAUCACAAAAAUAGCACUCCAAAACUAAAAUGACCAAAAUAACACAUUUCUAAGUUUAUCCUUGGAAAAUUUUAAUUUUUUUAUUUUUCAAAAUUUGAAAUCUUAUCCCCAAAACCUCAUUUCUCAACUUUAAACCCUAAAACCUAAACUCUAAACCCUAAACCCUAAAC